AUUGAACGCUGGCGGCAUGCCUUACACAUGCAAGUCGAACGGUAACAGGUCUUCGGAUGCUGACGAGUGGCGAACGGGUGAGUAGUACAUCGGAACGUGCCUAGUAGUGGGGGAUAACUACUCGAAAGAGUGGCUAAUACCGCAUGAGAUCUACGGAUGAAAGCAGUGGAUCGCAAGACCAUGUGCUACUAGAGCGGCCGAUGGCAGAUUAGGUAGUUGGUGGGAUAAAAGCUUACCAAGCCGACGAUCUGUAGCUGGUCUGAGAGGACGAUCAGCCACACUGGGACUGAGACACGGCCCAGACUCCUACGGGAGGCAGCAGUGGGGAAUUUUGGACAAUGGGCGAAAGCCUGAUCCAGCAAUGCCGCGUGCAGGAUGAAGGCCUUCGGGUUGUAAACUGCUUUUGUACGGAACGAAAAGCCCCGGGUUAAUACCCUGGGGUCAUGACGGUACCGUAAGAAUAAGCACCGGCUAACUACGUGCCAGCAGCCGCAGUAA
rnacentral:rRNA from 1 species